CAGCACCUCAAGUGGUCAGGAUGAUUAUUGGGCCUAAAGCAUCCGUAGCCGGCGCUGUAAGUUUUCGGUUAAAUCUGUACGCUCAACGUACAGGCUGCCGGGAAUACUGCAGCGCUAGGGAGUGGGAGAGGUAGACGGUACACGGUAGGAAGGGGUAAAAUCCUUUGAUCUAUUGAUGACCACCUGUGGCGAAGGCGGUCUACCAGAACACGUCCGACGGUGAGGGAUGAAAGCUGGGGGAGCAAACCGGAUUAGAUACCCGAGUAGUCC
rnacentral:rRNA from 1 species